GACAUCCCGGAGACCCUUAGGAACUAGGGGUGGCCUCCAUCUGGAAGAAUCUGGAGACAGGUGCUGCAUGGCUGUCGUCAGCUCGUGUCGUGAGAUGUUGGGUUAAGUCCCGCAACGAGCGCAACCCUUGCCUUUAGUUGCCAGCAGUUCGGCUGGGCACUCUAAAGGGACUGCCGGUGUUAAACCGGAGGAAGUGGGGAUGACGUCAAGUCCUCAUGGCCUUUAUGACCAGGGCUACACACGUACUACAAUGGCCGAUACAAAGGGCAGCGACACUGCGAGGUGAAGCCAAUCCCGUAAAAUCGGUCUCAGUCCGGAUUGGAGUCUGCAACUCGACUCCAUGAAGUUGGAAUCGCUAGUAAUCGUGGAUCAGCAUGCCACGGUGAAUACGUUCCCGGGCCUU
rnacentral:rRNA from 1 species